rnacentral:rRNA from 1 species
CAGUAGCCACGGUAAUACGAAGGGUGCAAGCGUUACUCGGAAUUACUGGGCGUAAAGCGUGCGUAGGUGGUGGUUUAAGUCCGUUGUGAAAGCCCUGGGCUCAACCUGGGAAUUGCAGUGGAUACUGGGUCACUAGAGUGUGGUAGAGGAUAGUGGAAUUUCCGGUGUAGCAGUGAAAUGCGUGGAGAUCGGAAGGAACAUCUGUGGCGAAGGCGACUAUCUGGGCCAACACUGACACUGAGGCACGAAAGCGUGGGGAGCAAACAGGAUUAGAUACCCGCGUAGUCCCUGUCUCUUAUAC